rnacentral:tRNA from 2 species
GCGCCCGUAGCUCAAUGGAUAGAGCACCAGGUUUCUACCCUGUCGGUUGGAGGUUCGAGUCCUCUCGGGCGUA